rnacentral:rRNA from 1 species
AUGGCCGGCCACGGCCGAGCUGGCCGUUGGCGUCAGAUGGCAGCCGCCUGUGUUCCAGGCGCCUCGCCAGUCAUGGUUGUGGUGCGCGUGGUGGUGCCGCUCGCAGCUUCAAUGCUCCAGGCACGCCGCUCACCGCCGUUGUCAUGGCCGGUGGCUGGACUUGGGAAGUCCACCUUGCUAGCAAACAACAUUCGUGGUUUGCAGAAGAUGACUGAUGCAAGCGGUUGCAAAAUAAAGGGAAGAAAUGAGUGGAGGGAAGAGAUUGGAGAAGAGAUAAGGUUAGGAAGAGAGAUGUGGGUGGACCAUGGGGGCACGUGUUGUUUAGGGGAGGCGGAUGACGCAUUGGAGUUUUCCGCCGGCAGAAUGGCAACUUUUCCCUUAUUUUAUUUCAAAAGUACUGUGUAUGAAAUUUGA